ACGGGAGGCAGCAGUGAGGAAUAUUGGUCAAUGGGCGCGAGCCUGAACCAGCCAAGUAGCGUGGAGGAAGACGGCCCUAUGGGUUUUAAACUUCUUUUGCACGGGAAUAAAGUCGGGGACGCGUCCCCGUUUGCAUGUACCGUGCGAAUAAGCAUCGGCUAAUUCCGUGCCAGCAGCCGCGGUAAUACGGAAGAUGCGAGCGUUAUCCGGAUUUAUUGGGUUUAAAGGGAGCGUAGGCGGCCUGUUAAGUCAGCGGUCAAAUGUCAUCGCCCAACGAUGUCAAGCCGUUGAAACUGCCGGGCUUGAAUGCACGCAAGGAAGGUGGAAUUCGUCGUGUAGCGGUGAAAUGCUUAGAUAUGACGAAGAACUCCGAUUGCGAAGGCAGCCUUCUGGGGUGCGAUUGACGCUGAGGCUCGAAGGUGCGGGUAUCAAACAGGAUUAGAUACCCUGGUA
rnacentral:rRNA from 1 species